rnacentral:lncRNA from 1 species
UCUACUCUCUUCAUUCUUUGGUCCGGUAAUGCGUUCGGAUCAAUGAAGGAGGAUUGCCUACUUUUUGGGCGAUAAGCCGGAAUCCUCCUCCCCUUAGCAUCAUAUAUCACAACUUCAUCCUCAUUAGGUACUUUACAUUUCUCACCUAGUAUGAUCGUCUUCAUCCAGAUUGAGUCUUCCGGCUUCAACUUUCCGUUCUUUCGCUUGUUGUACUCUUCCUUUACCUUAUCUUUUCGUGCCAUCGACAAGCUUCGUGGCAAUUUAAUGCUCAAAUUCGAGAAGAGCCUUCGCUCGGAAGCAGACUUUUUCAAUUUAGGUUUCAUGUCGAGGUUGCCGGAAUAAAGCUGUCCUGAAUAAAGUUGUCCUGAGUUCUUCAUUCUUGGAGGCAAAGGCAACUCUUUACUCAUCAUUGGAUCCUCAUUUUCUUGAUCUCUUUCCAAAUCUUGUUGAGGUGUUUUGUUCCC